CCAAGCUGGACAGAUUUAGCCCUUCCAGUUUGUCAUGAAUCUGCUUUCUUCAAGCUCCCUCCCACAAUUAUUUUUACCGCUCCCAUGUCAGUUAGCUGUUGUUUUUCUUGGGAAGUGGUGCAACCAAGUCAGAACAGACAAAAUCUAAUGGGACUGAAAAGCUGAGACAAAAAAUCUAGAAUGCAAUCAGGAGCCCAACUUUCCCAUAAACUGCUCUGAGAAAACUUAAGAAGACGAGGUUAAAAGGUGUACUCCCAGUUCUUCCUCAUCUAGGGGACUGGAAGCUCACUGAGUGGAUGAGAGGAAAACUUUCCAAAAUCAGAACCGACCACUUCUACCACUAUAGGAGAUUCAAACAUGGUGACUGGCUCCAAAGUCAGAGAGUGAAAGAGCCUGGAGAGGCAGCCGUGCCUCCUAAGAACCUGUUGAGUUGCUACAAAGACAACACUGAAGAGUUGAUCUGAAGAGUAUCUGACUGUGUUGUUCAACUGACUGAUGAACUUGAACAUGAGAGCUUGCUGAUGCUACCUGGUAGCUGGGAGAGACGCUUGAUGGGAAUGAGAAAGUUGGUGCAGACGAGCUCGUGCUGAUCGAGCAGUGGGUCGACUUCAACUUGGAGGAAAACAAGGAAAAAGGCCCUCAGUCAAACUCCAGGGUCCAGAACUCUGUCACAUGGAUACUCCUUGUGCUAUUCAUCAUCCAGAUUGUGGGGUUAAUAACAACCAUCUUUGUUUUUACAAUGGCUAAACCCGAUAUACCAGCUGCCAUCUCUGCCACCCCUUGUUGCCCUCAUGGCUGGAUCAUGAACCAAGCGAGCUGCUACCACUUCUCAGAACUGGAAGGGGCCUGGGAGGCUGGCCAGCACCACUGCUCCUCUCUUGGUGCCUCCCUGGCUGUGAUUGGUAACUUAGAGAAACUGAACAUCACAGUGAAGAACAAAGUUCCCUUCAACCAUUGGGUUGGCCUCCACAGAGAACCAGAUGAUGGCUGGAAAUGGCCUGAUGGCACCCUGUUCAAGAACCUUUUUGAAGUGGAAGGAGACGGACGAUGCGCUUACCUAAGCAACUGGGCUGUGAACAGCACUGACUGUUCGGCUGAGAAGAAAUGGCUCUGCAGCCAGAAAGUGAAGACAAAAGAGGGUAGCCAUAGCCACUGCAGGGCAACGUGACGCCUUAAGAGCUGAGUUUGAGCCAAAGGAACUCCCAGUGCUUUCCCAUGUUAUUAGCUGCCACUCUCUGUGUCUUGUCCACAGUGAUAAGUGCCAACACGCCACCAAUCCAAAUGAUCAACCUCAUGCCCCGUAAGGUAGCAUCUCCUUGUCAAAGACUCUGGGAAUGGGGGCAUCCUUAAUAUCUGAGCACGAGAUAAAGCUUUCUUAUGGAAUGACUACCAGAACUACUAAACUGAAAAUCAGACUUGUGGUAAUGUAAGGAAAGUAUCCUCAAGUGAUUUCUCUUCAUGUCUUUUCAUUAUUAUAGUGCAAGUUUAAGUGCAACUCUACUUGGGUUAGUUAAGAGUGUAUUGUGAUUAUUACAUUAGGUCAACCACC